rnacentral:rRNA from 1 species
UACGGGGGGGGCAAGCGUUGUUCGGAAUUACUGGGCGUAAAGGGCUCGUAGGGGGCCAACUAAGUCGGACGUGAAAUCCCUCGGCUUAACCGGGGAACUGCGUCCGAUACUGGUUGGCUUGAGUUUGGGAGAGGGAUGCGGAAUUCCAGGUGUAGCGGUGAAAUGCGUAGAUAUCUGGAGGAACACCGGUGGCGAAGGCGGCAUCCUGGACCAAUACUGACGCUGAGGCGCGAAAGCUAGGGGAGCAAACGGG